GAUGAACGCUGGCGGCGUGCCUAAUACAUGCAAGUCGAGCGAACAGACGAGGAGCUUGCUCCUCUGACGUUAGCGGCGGACGGGUGAGUAACACGUGGAUAACCUACCUAUAAGACUGGGAUAACUUCGGGAAACCGGAGCUAAUACCGGAUAAUAUAUUGAACCGCAUGGUUCAAUAGUGAAAGACGGUUUUGCUGUCACUUCUAGAUGGAUCCGCGCCGCAUUAGCUGGUUGGUAAGGUAACGGCUUACCAAGGCAACCAUGCGUAGCCGACGUGAGGGGGGGGUCGGCCACACUGGAACGGAGACACGGUCCAGACUCCUACGGGAGGCAGCAGUAGGGAAUCUUCCGCAAUGGGGGAAAGCCUGACGGAGCGAGGCCGCGUGAGUGAUGAAGGUCUUCGGAUCGUAAAACUCUGUUAUUAGGGAAGAACAAAUGUGUAAGUAACUAUGCACGUCUUGACGGUACCUAGUCAGAAAGCCACGGCUAACUACGUG
rnacentral:rRNA from 1 species